rnacentral:rRNA from 1 species
CCUACGGGAGGCAGCAGUGAGGAAUAUUGGUCAAUGGACGAGAGUCUGAACCAGCCAAGUAGCGUGAAGGAUGACUGCCCUAUGGGUUGUAAACUUCUUUUAUAUGAGAAUAAAAUGUUCCACGUGUGGGAUUUUGUAUGUACCAUAUGAAUAAGGAUCGGCUAACUCCGUGCCAGCAGCCGCGGUAAUACGGAGGAUCCGAGCGUUAUCCGGAUUUAUUGGGUUUAAAGGGAGCGUAGGUGGAUUGUUAAGUCAGUUGUGAAAGUUUGCGGCUGAACCGUAAAAUUGCAGUUGAAACUGGCAGUCUUGAGUACAGUAGAGGUGGGCGGAAUUCGUGGUGUAGCGGUGAAAUGCUUAGAUAUCACGAAGAACUCCGAUUGCGAAGGCAGUUCACUGGACUGUAACUGACACUGAGGCUCGAAAGUGUGGGUAUCAAACAGGAUUAGAUACCCGAGUAGUC